UCCAGAGAUUUGUUAAACACCCACUUUCCAGUAUUAACAGUGCACUCUUCAGGGUCGAACUCGAAUCUAUCAUCCAAUUCGAAGCUUUUAAGAUUAUCCCCUGCAGUUCUAUCCUCUGUUGGACAAUGGCAUUCGCAGAUUUAAGCUUAAAAAAGGACCUGGAAGUCUCAGCAUACAAGAGAGCAAGAAAAGCAAAACCACAAAUCACGAUAGUGAUGAUAGAAACGGGUAGCUUUCCUCUUGGAGGCUUCAUUGUAGCAGAUGGAGAGGGAGCUAAGCUCAUUGUUGGAGCCUCGAAGAAAGAAAUUAUCGUAACGGUGGGAUAAUUAAAGCAUAUGAUCACUAGAUCAAGCAAACAGAAUGAUGAAGGGGUUAUUUUUAUGGCUGGUUUGAGUAGGAGUAAAGCUAAAGCCAAUAUGGGUCUUUUAAAGUAUGUAAUGGAGGUUAGGAAGUAAGUUGGAAAGCAUACAUCUUGGACUUCUUCUGUCUUCUCAAUUAAUGGAAGCUAAAUCUCUCCCUAGCCGCUGUGCCAACUACAGCUAUCAUAUAUGCCAUUUAUUUAUAAUUUGUUCAGUAGGUAGGAAAAGUUUUCUUGUUGCACAAGUGUUAAUUUUUUUGCAAUUUUGCGUACUUCUUCCUUCCCUUUUGACUUCUGUUCAGCCGUUCAGGUAUCAUUUCACAGAACAUUUUCCAUGCUUGAUAUUAACAUUUUAUUUUUCUGGUCCAUGUAGCUCAGUAUAUCCUCUGUAUAGCAGCAGAGAUAUAUCAAAUUUUUCAUAGCUCUGUGGCCAUUGUUGAGAA